rnacentral:rRNA from 1 species
CGUGUAGGCGGUUUAUCGAGUCAGGCGUGAAAGCCCCGGGCUUAACCUGGGAACUGCGUUUGAUACUGAUAGGCUAGAGGUUGGAAGAGGAGAGUGGAAUUCCCAGUGUAGAGGUGAAAUUCGUAGAUAUUAGGAAGAACACCAGUGGCGAAGGCGGCUCUCUGGUCCAUACCUGACGCUGAGGCGCGAAAGCGUGGGGGGCAAACA